UGUCCCAGGAAAGCAGGAGUCACAGGACACAACUGGACCCAGGUUAUUCAAGGACACGGAAAAGCCAACACCAUGGUAGCAUUAAUGAAAGUUUACCAAGAGGAAGAUGAAGCCUACCAGGAGUUAGUUACCGUGGCAACCAUGUUUUUCCAGUACUUACUGCAGCCAUUUAGGGCUAUGCGAGAAGUUGCAACUUUAUAAGUCCUUGGAUGAGGAUGACCUAGGUCCUAGAAGGGUAGUUGCCCUGGAGAAAGAAGCUGAAGAAUGGACCAGACGGGCUGAAGAAGCUGUCGUCUCUAUUCAAGAUAUCACAGUGAAUUAUUUUAAGGAGACAGUAAAAGCA
rnacentral:lncRNA from 1 species